rnacentral:rRNA from 1 species
UACGGGGGGAGCAAGCGUUGUUCGGAUUUACUGGGCGUAAAGGGCGCGUAGGCGGCCUCUGCAAGUCGACUGUGAAAUCUCCGGGCUUAACCCGGAAAGGUCAGCCGAUACUGCAGGGCUAGAGUGCAGAAGGGGCAACUGGAAUUCUCGGUGUAGCGGUGAAAUGCGUAGAUAUCGAGAGGAACACCUGCGGCGAAGGCGGGUUGCUGGGCCGACACUGACGCUGAUGCGCGAAAGCCAGGGGAGCGAACGGG